AAUCCUGAAUCGGUUCAACUUUGUUAUUGAGAUGAGUUAGAAUUCACAGUUAUGUUGUCUAUGAAAUAGUUUACAUUUUUCUGUUGUAUUGCAAAUUGACACAAAUAUAAAAGCACUAAGAAUGAUUCUUGCUGGUUACAAGUAUCAAGUCUGCAGGCCUACAGAUCUAUUUUAACUGGGCUAGUUUAACUUGUCAUCCUCUCAGCAUUAAUAAAAUAAGUGGUCAGCAUUUCAGCUUCUUCUUAUAUAUGAGGGGCUCAAACAUAUUAGGGUGUCCAGCAUUUCAGCUUUUUGUAAUAUAUGAGGGCCUCAAACAUAUUGGGGUGUCCAGCUGAACUGAGUCUUUGAUACAGCAUGUUUGCAGCAGGUCAUUGUUGGAAGUCUGUGCUAUCUUUGGAAAACAAAAUCUGCACUGAUUUAUUGUUCUUACCCAGAGCCAGUCAGGAGUAAAGCAUCUGCCAGCCGUUUGAUAGUAUUACUAUGCCAUCCAAUUGUGGUUUCAUUUCAGUUGGAAAGUUGAAAAAAAAAAGAAGCCCUCCUAAGAAGCAAAGUCCUAUUAAAUCCCUAUACUGUUACUAAUAUUGAGGCAGUGUGCUUGCAGAAUUGUUAGAACAUCAUGCAAAAUGCUUAAUGGUAUUUCUGCUGGUUCUUUACAUCCCUAGUUCAAAUCCUACCAAGAUCAACUUUGCCUGAAUCCUUUCAGGAUUAGGAUUGAUAUAAUAAAGGACCAGUCAAGUACGGUGGAGUGAGACUGUCAGUGUAAUUGAUUAGCCCCUCCUUCCCAACUCCUCUAAAAUUACUGGCCUUGUACCAAAAUUUGAACAAUAUUGAGGCAGUGGAUUGGCAGAAUUAUUAAAAUGACAGGCUGAAAGCCUUGUGAUAUUUAGUUUCACAGUUUUAAACUUUGUUUUUCAUUCUUCAAAAGAAAUAUCAGUCAAGAAUUGGGGGUUGAUGUCAUCAAUGAUACCUAUUUCCUAAAGUUGAGGUUUUAACAGAAUUGGUACAUCACUGUACAAAAUGUCCCUUUGGUGGUAAUUUUAAUACUUCCCAGAGUCAUCUUUACUUUCAUUGUUCCUAGGUCAAUGAAAUAAGGACCAGUCGAGAUCUGGGGUUGAUCUUCAUUAACUGUACCUUACUCCUAAAAUUUUAAGUCCUGGUACUCUGGCUGAAUCGUUAGCAUGCUGGGCGAAAUGCUCAGUGGUAUUUUGUCUGCUGCUACGUUCUGAGUUCAAAUUCCGCCGAGGUCGACUUUGCCUUUCAACCUUUCAGGACCGAUUAAAUAAGUACCAGUUAUGCACUUAAUUCCUUUGUCUGUCCUUGGUUGUCUCUUGAGGACAAUGAAAAAAAUAAAUAUUUAGGCAGCAGUUUAACAGAGUUGAUAGAAAGUUGUACAAAAGACCAUACUGUAUUUUGUUGUGCUUCUUAAUGUUGUAGUUUCAAAUCCUACCAAGGUUAGCUCUUGCAUUCAUAUUCAGGGGUUGAUAAAAUAUUUCCAUAUAUCAGACAGGUACUGAAGCCGAUCUCACUUGACUAGACCCUACUCCUGAAAUCUGAAGCUCAUAGUACAAAUCAAUAUUAGUGCUUGUAGUAAGGUGGCAAGCUGGCAGAAUCAUUAGCAAUCUGGGCCAAAUGCUUAGUGGCAUUUUCUCUAUCUGCACGUUCUGAGUUCAAAUUCCACUGAGGUUGACUUUGUAUUUUAUCCUUUUGGUGUUGAUAAAAUAGGUACCAGUUGUGCACUGGGGUCAAUGUAAUCUACUUACUCCCUCCUCGAAACUUGCUGACCUUGUGCCAAAAUUUAAAACCAAUAUUAGUACUGUAGUGUUCCUGAGGAAUCAUCAACAUCAUCAUUAUCAUUAUCAACUCCUGGAUUUUACCGCUUCAAGUCUUCAAACUCAUUGGACUGAUUACCUAUUUCCCAUGGUGUAGAAGAAUGGCCUUUACAUUAACGUGUGUUUGAUUUUUGACAGUAAUACCAAUUAGCUCUUCUCUAAAACUGUUUUAAAAUUCUAGUUAGAUCUCAGGGUAGAAGCAGUUAUUUUUUUUACAUUUCUUGGCAAAGAAUGAAAAUAAAUGAUAAGCACCCACUAUUACCAACUGACAAAAAAAAAAAAAGAAAGAAAAAAUAAAAAAAAAAUGAAUAAAUGAAAAACAUUGUCUUGUAAAAGUAUUGUAAAAUGAAACAAUGUAUGUAAUUAUAUAUGGAGAAACAUGAAGUCUGAUAGGUGUGAGGUUUAUUUAAAUGCUUGUAUGGGAAAUAAAGAAAUUGAAAAAAAAGUCUUUUUAAUGAAAAAAUAA